ACGCAGCGGACUUAGAAAACUGGGCCUCGAUCGCGAAAGGGAUCGAGUGGCAGCUCUCAAACUCAGGGAAACCUAAAACUUUAAACAUUAAAGUCAUGGCAAUCCUGAGCCAAGCUAAAGCUAAACAACUAACAGCUUUAGAAGGUGCAGAGACUAGACGGGAGCUACCCUAACGGAUUCAGCCGAGGGUAAAGGGAUAGUCCAAUUCUCAACAUCGCGAUUGUUGAUGGCAGCGAAAGUUGCAGAGAGAAUGAAAAUCCGCUGA
rnacentral:ncRNA from 20 species